UUAACUCAUAUUUGUAUGGAAUGGGAUCGUUUGCCUAUGUUUGCCGCUAUGUGGGGCGCUGUUCCAAAUGCAUACAAAAUUGGGCCA
rnacentral:pre_miRNA from 1 species